rnacentral:rRNA from 1 species
GGAAUAUUGGGCAAUGGGCGAAAGCCUGACCCAGCAACGCCGCUUGAUCGCAGACGGCCUUCGGGUUGUAAAGAUCUGUCAGUAGGGACGAACAAUGACUGUACCUACAGAGGAAGCACCGGCUAACUCCGUGCCAGCAGCCGCGGUAAUACGGGGGGUGCGAGCGUUGUCCGGAAUCAUUGGGCGUAAAGAGUUCGUAGGCGGUAUGUAAAGUCCGGUGUUAAAGGCGCAGGCUUAACUUGUGUAUGGCACUGGAUACUUGCAGACUAGAAUGCGGUAGAGGUAAAGGGAAUUUCUGGUGUAGCGGUGAAAUGCUUAGAUAUCAGGAAGAACAUCGGUGGCGUAAGCGCUUUACUGGGCCGUAAUUGACGCUGAGGAACGAAAGCCGGGGUAGCAAAUG